UACGUAGGCAGCGAGCGUUGUUCGGAGUUACUGGGCGUAAAGGGUGUGUAGGCGGUUCUUUAAGUUUGGUGUGAAAUCUCCCGGCUCAACCGGGAGGGUGCGCCGAAUACUGAGGGACUUCGAGUGCGGGAGAGGAAAGUGGAAUUCCUGGUGUAGCGGUGAAAUGCGUAGAUAUCGAGAGGAACACCAGUGGCGAAGGCGAGUCUCUGGACGACUCCUGACACUGAGGCACGAAAGCUAGGGGAGCAAACAGG
rnacentral:rRNA from 1 species